rnacentral:rRNA from 1 species
UACGUAGGGUGCGAGCGUUGUCCGGAAUUAUUGGGCGUAAAGAGCUUGUAGGCGGUUUGUCGCGUCUGCCGUGAAAGCCCAGGGCUUAACCCUGGGUCUGCGGUGGGUACGGGCAGACUAGAGUGUGGUAGGGGAGACUGGAAUUCCUGGUGUAGCGGUGAAAUGCGCAGAUAUCAGGAGGAACACCGAUGGCGAAGGCAGGUCUCUGGGCCUUACCUGACGCUGAGGAGCGAAAGCGUGGGGAGCAAACAGG